CCUACGGGGGGCUUCAGUGGGGAAUAUUGGACAAUGGGGGGAACCCUGAUCCAGCCAUGCCGCGUGUGUGAAGAAGGCCCUCGGGUUGUAAAGCACUUUCAGUGAGGAAGAACGCCUGGUGGUUAAUACCCAUCAGGAAAGACAUCACUCACAGAAGAAGCACCGGCUAACUCCGUGCCAGCAGCCGCGGUAAUACGGAGGGUGCGAGCGUUAAUCGGAAUUACUGGGCGUAAAGCGCGCGUAGGUGGCUUGAUAAGCCGGUUGUGAAAGCCCCGGGCUCAACCUGGGAACGGCAUCCGGAACUGUCAAGCUAGAGUGCAGGAGAGGAAGGUAGAAUUCCCGGUGUAGCGGUGAAAUGCGUAGAGAUCGGGAGGAAUACCAGUGGCGAAGGCGGCCUUCUGGACUGACACUGACACUGAGGUGCGAAAGCGUGGGUAGCAAACAGGAUUAGAUACCCCUGUAGUU
rnacentral:rRNA from 1 species